rnacentral:rRNA from 1 species
AUUGAACGCUGGCGGCAGGCCUAACACAUGCAAGUCGAGCGGUAGAGAGGUGCUUGCAUCUCUUGAGAGCGGCGGACGGGUGAGUAAUGCCUAGGAAUCUGCCUGGUGGUGGGGGAUAACGUUCGGAAACGGACGCUAAUACCGCAUACGUCCUACGGGAGAAAGCGGGGGAUCUUCGGACCUCGCGCCAUUAGAUGAGCCUAGGUCGGAUUAGCUAGUUGGUGAGGUAAUGGCUCACCAAGGCGACGAUCCGUAACUGGUCUGAGAGGAUGAUCAGUCACACUGGAACUGAGACACGGUCCAGACUCCUACGGGAGGCAGCAGUGGGGAAUAUUGGACAAUGGGCGAAAGCCUGAUCCAGCCAUGCCGCGUGUGUGAAGAAGGUCUUCGGAUUGUAAAGCACUUUAAGUUGGG